AUAUGGAUAUGGAUAUGGUUAUUGGUGUGGUUAUGGAUAUGGUUAUGGAUGUGGUUAUGACCAUGACCAUGACCAUAGCCAUAACCAUAAUCAUAU
rnacentral:sRNA from 1 species